rnacentral:rRNA from 1 species
UAAGCGGAGGAAAAGAAACCAACCGGGAUUGCCUCAGUAACGGCGAGUGAAGCGGCAAGAGCUCAAAUUUGAAAUCUGGCCCCUUUGGGGUCCGAGUUGUAAUUUGCAGAGGAUGCUUCGGGUGCGGUCCCCGUCUAAGUGCCCUGGAACGGGCCGUCAUAGAGGGUGAGAAUCCCGUCUGGGAUGGGCGGCCGUGCCCGUGUGAAGCUCCUUCGACGAGUCGAGUUGUUUGGGAAUGCAGCUCUAAGUGGGUGGUAAAUUUCAUCUAAAGCUAAAUACUGGCCGGAGACCGAUAGCGCACAAGUAGAGUGAUCGAAAGAUGAAAAGCACUUUGAAAAGAGAGUUAAACAGCACGUGAAAUUGUUGAAAGGGAAGCGUUGUCCACCAGACUCGCCCGGGGGGGCUCAGCCGGCACGUGUGCCGGUGUACUCCUCUCCGGGCGGGCCAGCAUCGGUUUGGGCGGUUGGUGAAAGGCCCCGGGAAUGUAACACCCUCCGGGGUGCCUUAUAGCCCGGGGGUGCCAUGCGGCCAGCCUGGACCGAGGCCCGCGCUUCGGCGAGGAUGCUGGCGUAAUGGUGGUCAACGG